rnacentral:tRNA from 1 species
UGUACAAUGGUCCAGUUGGUUAAGACAUCCAUCUCAAUUAUGGAAGACAAGGGUUCAAAUCCCUCUUGUACCU